rnacentral:rRNA from 1 species
AUUGAACGCUGGCGGCAGGCCUAACACAUGCAAGUCGAGCGGAUGAAGGGAGCUUGCUCCUGGAUUCAGCGGCGGACGGGUGAGUAAUGCCUAGGAAUCUGCCUGGUAGUGGGGGAUAACGCCCGGAAACGGGCGCUAAUACCGCAUACGUCCUGAGGGAGAAAGUGGGGGAUCUUCGGACCUCACGCUAUCAGAUGAGCCUAGGUCGGAUUAGCUAGUUGGUGGGGUAAAGGCCUACCAAGGCGACGAUCCGAAACUGGUCUGAGAGGAUGAUCAGUCACACUGGAACUGAGACACGGUCCAGACUCCUACGGGAGGCAGCAGUGGGGAAUAUUGGACAAAGGGCGAAAGCCUGAUCCAGCCAUGCCGCGUGUGUGAAGAAGGUCUUCGGAUUGUAAAGCACUUUAAGUUGGGAGGAAGGGCAGUAAGUUAAUACCUUGCUGUUUUGACGUUACCAACAGAAUAAGCACCGGCUAACUUCGUG